GACGAACGCUGGCGGCGGGCUUAACACAUGCAAGUCGAACGAGUGGCGAACGGGUGUGUAACGCGUAGGAACCUAGCUAUAAGAGGGGGAUAACCAUUGGAAACGAUAGCUAAUACCGCAUACUAGUAGAUGGACCUGCGUUGUAAUUGCUAGUUGGUGGGGUAAAGGCCUACCAAGGCGACGAUCCGUAACUGGUCUGAGAGGAGGAUCAGUCACACGAGACCUGAGACAGGGUGCAGACUCCUACGGGGGGCAGUAGUGGGGAAUAUUGCGCAGUGGUGCAGACCGUGAGGCGGAGGCGCUGCGGGCGGAAUGACCGCUUUCGGGUGGUAAAGCGCUUUCAGUCAUGACGCGGUAGUGGCAGAAGAAGCACCGGCUAACUCCGUGCCAGCAGCCGCGGUAAUAC
rnacentral:rRNA from 1 species